rnacentral:rRNA from 1 species
CAGUCGCCGCGGUAAUACGGAGGGAGCUAGCGUUGUUCGGAAUUACUGGGCGUAAAGCGCGCGUAGGUGGUUCAUUAAGUUGGAUGUGAAAGCCCUGGGCUCAACCUGGGAACUGCAUCCAAAACUGGCGAGCUAGAGUAUGGUAGAGGGUGGUGGAAUUUCCUGUGUAGCGGUGAAAUGCGUAGAUAUAGGAAGGAACACCAGUGGCGAAGGCGACCACCUGGACUGAUACUGACACUGAGGUGCGAAAGCGUGGGGAGCAAACAGGAUUAGAUACCCCCGUAGUCCCUGUCUCUUAUAC